UAGGGGAACCUGAAGGAUCACGCCGCGUGGAGGAUGAAGGUCUUCGGAUUGUAAACUCCUGUCAUGAGGGAGUAAGACACAGCGUUAACUGCGUAUGUGUUUGAUAGUACCUCAAGAGGAAGAGACGGCUAACUCUGUGCCAGCAGCCGCGGUAAUACAGAGGUCUCAAGCGUUGUUCGGAUUCAUUGGGCGUAAAGGGUGCGUAGGUGGCGAGGUAAGUCAGAUGUGAAAUCCCCGGGCUCAACCUGGGAACUGCAUUUGAUACUGCCGUGCUAGAGUGCUGGAGGGGAGACUGGAAUUCACGGUGUAGCAGUGAAAUGCGUAGAUAUCGUGAGGAAGACCGGUGGCGAAGGCGAGUCUCUGGACAGCAACUGACACUGAGGCACGAAGGCUAGGGGAGCAAACGGGAUUAGAUACCCCGGUAGUCCUAGCAGUAAACGGUGCGCGUUUGGUAUGGGGGGAUCGACCCCUUCCGUGCCGGAGCUAACGCGUUAAACGCGCCGCCUGGGGAGUACGGUCGCAAGAUUAAAACUCAAAGAAAUUGACGGGGGCCCGCACAAGCGGUGGAGUAUGUGGCUUAAUUCGAUGCAACGCGAAGAACCUUACCUGGGCUUGACAUGCAUCUCUAAGUUGGUGAAAGCCAGCGAGUGCGUAGCAAUACGCACGAUUUGCACAGGUGCUGCAUGGGUGUCGGCAGCUCGUGUCGCGAGAUGUGGGCGUAGUGUCCGCAAGAAGGGAACCCUUGUGAUUAUGGUACUGGGAACCAG
rnacentral:rRNA from 1 species